GGUAGUCCACGCCGUAAACGUUGGGAACUAGAUGUGGGGACCUUUCCACGGUCUCCGUGUCGCAGCUAACGCAUUAAGUUCCCCGCCUGGGGAGUACGGCCGCAAGGCUAAAACUCAAAGGAAUUGACGGGGGCCCGCACAAGCGGCGGAGCAUGCGGAUUAAUUCGAUGCAACGCGAAGAACCUUACCAAGGCUUGACAUAUACCGGAAACUUCCAGAAAUGGUUGCCCCGCAAGGUCGGUAUACAGGUGGUGCAUGGUUGUCGUCAGCUCGUGUCGUGAGAUGUUGGGUUAAGUCCCGCAACGAGCGCAACCCUCGUUCUAUGUUGCCAGCACGUCAUGGUGGGAACUCAUAGGAGACUGCCGGGGUCAACUCGGAGGAAGGUGGGGAUGACGUCAAAUCAUCAUGCCCCUUAUGUCUUGGGCUUCACGCAUGCUACAAUGGCCGGUACAAAGGGCUGCGAUACCGUAAGGUGGAGCGAAUCCCAAAAAGCCGGUCUCAGUUCGGAUUGAGGUCUGCAACUCGACCUCAUGAAGUCGGAGUCGCUAGUAAUCGCAGAUCAGCAACGCUGCGGUGAAUACGUUCCCGGGCCUUGUACACACCGCCCGUCAAGUCAUGAAAGUCGGUAACACCCGAAGCCGGUGGCCUAACCCCUUGUGGGAGGGAGCCGUCGAAGGUGGGAUCGGUGAUUAGGACUAAGUCGUAACAAGGUAGCCGUACCGGAAGGUGC
rnacentral:rRNA from 1 species